AGGGAAUCUUCCACAAUGGGCGAAAGCCUGAUGGAGCAACGCCGCGUGGGUGAAGAAGGUCUUCGGAUCGUAAAACCCUGUUGUCAGAGAAGAAAGUGCAUGAGAGUAACUGUUAGUGUUCCGACGGUAUCUGACAAGAAAGCCACGGUUAAUUCCGUGCUAGCAGCCGCGGUAAUACGUAGGUGGCAAGCGUUAUCCGGAUUUAUUGGGCGUAAAGGGAACGCAGGCGGUCUUUUAAGUCUGAUGUGAAAGCCUUCGGCUUAACCGGAGUAGUGCAUUGGAAACUGGGAGACUUGAGUGCAGAAGAGGAGAGUGGAACUCCAUGUGUAGCGGUGAAAUGCGUAGAUAUAUGGAAGAACACCAGUGGCGAAAGCGGCUCUCUGGUCUGUAACUGACGCUGAGGUUCGAAAGCGUGGGUAGCAAACAGG
rnacentral:rRNA from 1 species